GCAAGGUUAAAACUCAAAUGAAUUGACGGGGGCCCGCACAAGCGGUGGAGCAUGUGGUUUAAUUCGAUGCAACGCGAAGAACCUUACCUACUCUUGACAUCCAGAGAACUUAGCAGAGAUGCUUUGGUGCCUUCGGGAACUCUGAGACAGGUGCUGCAUGGCUGUCGUCAGCUCGUGUUGUGAAAUGUUGGGUUAAGUCCCGCAACGAGCGCAACCCUUAUCCUUUGUUGCCAGCGGUCCGGCCGGGAACUCAAAGGAGACUGCCAGUGAUAAACUGGAGGAAGGUGGGGAUGACGUCAAGUCAUCAUGGCCCUUACGAGUAGGGCUACACACGUGCUACAAUGGCGCAUA
rnacentral:rRNA from 1 species